rnacentral:rRNA from 1 species
UACAUGGGGUGCAAACGUUGCUCGGAAUCAUUGGGCGUAAAGCGCACGUAGGCGGUCCGUUAUGUCGGAUGUGAAAGCCCUCGGCUUAACCGGGGAAGUGCAUCCGAAACUGGCGAGCUUGAGUACUAAAGAGGGUCGCGGAAUUCCCGGUGUAGAGGUGAAAUUCGUAGAUAUCGGGAGGAACACCAGCGGCGAAGGCGGCGACCUGGGUAGAUACUGACGCUGAGGUGCGAAAGCGUGGGGAGCAAACAGG